rnacentral:rRNA from 1 species
GACGAAGGGGGCUAGCGUUGUUCGGAAUUACUGGGCGUAAAGCGUGCGCAGGCGGUUUUGUAAGUCUGACGUGAAAUCCCCGGGCUCAACCUGGGAAUUGCGUUGGAGACUGCAAGGCUGGAGUCUGGCAGAGGGGGGUAGAAUUCCACGUGUAGCAGUGAAAUGCGUAGAGUUGUGGAGGAACACCGAUGGCGAAGGCAGCCCCCUGGGUCAAGACUGACGCUCAUGCACGAAAGCGUGGGGAGCAAACAGG